CUACUGGGGUUUCUAAUCCUGUUCGCUCCCCACGCUUUCGUCCAUCAGUGUCAAUAUAUUGUUAGUAACCUGCCUUCGCAAUCGGUAUUCUAUGUAAUAUCUAUGCAUUUCACCGCUACACUACAUAUUCUAGUUACUUCACAACAAUUCAAGACUAACAGUAUCAAUGUCAAUUCUACAGUUAAGCUGCAGACUUUCACCACUGACUUAUUAGUCCACCUACGGACCCUUUAAACCCAAUGAUUCCGGAUAACGCUUGCACCCUCCGUAUUACCGCGGCUGCUGGCAC
rnacentral:rRNA from 1 species